GACUUGAGUCCAGCAGAUGCAGGAGGAGGCGCCGAGGGGAGAGUGCUACUACCUCCACUGGGAGUCCCUUCGGGAUAAUCCCACCGCGGAGCCAGGACACAGCGCUUUUUUGGAGGCUUGGGUUCCCGCGUAUUUCCUGGUGGGAGCGUGGAUCUCCCGGAGGCACAAGCCAAGAUCUCUUUGAAAACAGACAACGGGUGACACUCCAUGUUUAAUCGGCAAGAUUUUAUUUCUUUUUUAGGGUUAUGGAAAACAAUGACUCAUCUUACUAUUGUGACAGUGGUGGUUUGUAUAUGCUUGGCCCAAGGAGUGGCACUAUUAGAAGGUGUGGCCCUGUUGAAGUAGGUGUGUCACUGUGGGUGUGAGCUUUAAUACCCUCAUCCUAGCUGCCUGAAAAUCAGUCUUCCACUAGCAGCCUUCAGAUGAAGAUGUAGAACUCUCAGCUCCUCCUGCACCAUGCCUGUCUGGAUGCUGCUCUGAUCCAACCUUGAUGAUAAUGGACUGAACCUCUGAACCUGUAAGCCAGCCCCAAUUAAAUGUUGCCC
rnacentral:lncRNA from 1 species